rnacentral:tRNA from 1 species
GUGGUGGUAGCUCAGUGGUAGAGUGCUUGCCUAGCACAUGUGAGGCACUGAGUUCGAUCCUCAACACCACA